rnacentral:tRNA from 1 species
GGCCGUUUAGCUCAGCUGGCUAGAGCGUCCCGCUUACAUCGGGGAGGUCGGGGGUUCGAGUCCCUCAGCGGCCA